rnacentral:rRNA from 1 species
UACGUAGGGUGCGAGCGUUGUCCGGAUUCAUUGGGCGUAAAGCGCGCGUAGGCGGCCCGGUAAGUCGGAUGUGAAAUCUCACGGCUCAACCGUGGAACUGCAUUCGAUACUGUCGGGCUAGAGGCAGGUAGGGGAGAUCGGAAUUCCCGGUGUAGCGGUGAAAUGCGCAGAUAUCGGGAGGAACACCGGUGGCGAAGGCGGGUAGCUGGGCCAACACUGACGCUGAUGCGCGAAGCUAGGGAGCAAACGGG